AGUGGGUGCCGCCUGGAAAAGGUCAGACCCUGCUUAGAGAAAGGAGGGAAGAGAGAGAACGAAGGAAGAAGGAAGGAGGAGGCCUGAAGGGGCUGGGGCCGGGGCGGGGCCGCUGCUGACUGGCAGUCGCCACCAAGCCGGUGCUCAGCUCUGGCGGCCAUGCCUGUCAGUGAGGAGGCGGAGGCACAGUGGGUACUGGACCUCGGUCGCCGCCUGAGCAGCGCAGCUGCGCUUUGGCCUGCGCCCUCCUCCCUCUCGCCACACCGGCCAUAAUCGUGCAGACUCCUCCCUGGUUGGAUGUGCCAGAAGGUCCUUAAGAACGGAUGUCACCUCAGCAGGAGGCUCCAGGGGAGCAGCGCAGGAGGCACUGCGUGGAGAAGAUGAAGACCUGGAGCCGCGCUCUGGUCCUCCAUCCCACCGCCUCCACUCCCGCCCGGCCCUCCAGGGGUCUCCCAGGUCGCGCCCAGCGGCCGCCCGUUAUUUAAAGGUCCCGCCGCAGCCCCGUGCGCGAAAACGAAAAUGUUAGUAAGAAGAGAGAGGAGUGUUCUGUCUCUUCUCCUGAACAAAAUCCUUCAACAACAGCCCAGUAUUGGCAGCACCAGCAUUCUCUGUUGGAAGAGAAAUGGAAAAUAAUGAUGGAAAUUUAAUAAUGGAAAAUUUGACUUCUGUCCUGAGCUUAUUUAAA